UACGAAGGGGGCUAGCGUGCUCGGAAUCACUGGGCGUAAAGCGCACGUAGGCGGAUUGUUAAGUCAGGGGUGAAAUCCUGGAGCUCAACUCCAGAACUGCCUUUGAUACUGAGGAUCUUGAGUUCGGGAGAGGUGAGUGGAACUGCGAGUGUAGAGGUGAAAUUCGUAGAUAUUCGCAAGAACACCAGUGGCGAAGGCGGCUCACUGGCCCGGUACUGACGCUGAGGUGCGAAAGCGUGGGGAGCAACAGG
rnacentral:rRNA from 1 species